rnacentral:rRNA from 1 species
UUUGAUCCUGGCUCAGGACGAACGCUGGCGGCGUGCCUAAUACAUGCAAGUCGAGCGGAUCAUCCCUUCGGGGAUGGUUAGCGGCGGACGGGUGAGUAACACGUAGGCAACCUGCCCGUAAGACCGGGAUAACUACCGGAAACGGUAGCUAAGACCGGAUAGCUGGUCUUCUCGCAUGAGGGGAUCAUGAAACGCGGAGCAAUCUGCGGCUUACGGAUGGGCCUGCGGCGCAUUAGCUGGUUGGUGGGGUAACGGCCUACCAAGGCGACGAUGCGUAGCCGACCUGAGAGGGUGACCGGCCACACUGGGACUGAGACACGGCCCAGACUCCUACGGGAGGCAGCAGUAGGGAAUCUUCCGCAAUGGACGCAAGUCUGACGGAGCAACGCCGCGUGAGUGAGGAAGGCCUUCGGGUCGUAAAGCUCUGUUGCCCUGGACGAACGCCUGGUGGAGUAACUGCCAUCAGGGUGACGGUACAGGAGAAGAAAGCCCCGGCUAACUACGUGCCAGCAGCCGCGGUAAUACGUAGGGGGCAAGCGUUGUCCGGAAUUAUUGGGCGUAAAGCGCGCGCAGGCUGCGGCUUAAGUCUGAUGUUUAAUCCACGGGCUCAACCCGUGUUCGCAUCGGAAACUGGGCUGCUUGAGUGCAGGAGAGGAAAGUGGAAUUCCACGUGUAGCGGUGAAAUGCGUAGAGAUGUGGAGGAACACCAGUGGCGAAGGCGACUUUCUAGCCUGUAACUGACGCUGAGGCGCGAAAGCGUGCGGAGCAAACAGGAUUAGAUACCCUGGUAGUCCACGCCGUAAACGAUGAGUGCUA